AUUGAACGCUGGCGGCAGGCCUAACACAUGCAAGUCGAGCGGAUGAAGGGAGCUUGCUCCUGGAUUCAGCGGCGGACGGGUGAGUAAUGCCUAGGAAUUUGCCUGGUAGUGGGGGAUAACGUCCGGAAACGGGCGCUAAUACCGCAUACGUCCUGAGGGAGAAAGUGGGGGAUCUUCGGACCUCACGCUAUCAGAUGAGCCUAGGUCGGAUUAGCUAGUUGGUGGGGUAAAGGCCUACCAAGGCGACGAUCCGUAACUGGUCUGAGAGGAUGAUCAGUCACACUGGAACUGAGACACGGUCCAGACUCCUACGGGAGGCAGCAGUGGGGAAUAUUGGACAAUGGGCGAAAGCCUGAUCCAGCCAUGCCGCGUGUGUGAAGAAGGUCUUCGGAUUGUAAAGCUCUUUAAGUUGGGAGGAAGGGCAGUAAGUUAAUACCUUGCUGUUUUGACGUUACCAACAGAAUAAGCACCGGCUAACUUCGUG
rnacentral:rRNA from 1 species